rnacentral:lncRNA from 1 species
CCAAAAUUGAAUACUAAGAAAGAGAACUUUAUUCGAGUUAGUUCUUACUUGAUUGACAUUCAAUAAUUAAGAGUUUCUGGAUACUAUAAACUAAACGUCACUCUGAUGCCUUGAACUCUUGCUCAGAUGGCACAGAAGAAAUAACUAUGGGAAAUGAUCCCUUUGGAUACAAUUAGUGUUGAUGUACAGGGUUCAUAACCAUAUAAUCCGAACAAGUGUAUUUGUACUCGGUACAUUUUCUUAAAUAUCUGGAACGCUGCAGCAUUAAGAAUCCAUGUCCCCGAAUAACAGUUGUGACCCGGUCUAUGUCAUUCCCUUUGUUGCUUCUGUCAUUCUUUAAACUUUUCAAAAAUAUUUUUUACUAAAUGACAUGAACAUAUUCAAAUUAAUUUGACACGACUGAUUAGCUUAGUGUGUCUAGAUGAUGCUUUGUUUAUUCUAUUACAGACAAGAUCUACCUACUACAAUUUCUACCAAACUAUUUUCUGUUACUCAUCAAAUUUAUAGACAAACACUUUAACUCGAGCAUUAGCAAUGUUUCUACCAAUACUACUGAUCCUUGUGUAGCUAUAGUCUAUACCAGACGAAAGCUAAAUCUUCACAUUGUGACCAUUUUAUGCAACACA